UACGUAGGGGGCAAGCGUUGUCCGGAAUCACUGGGCGUAAAGCGCGCGCAGGCGGUCAUCUACGUCUGGGGUGAAAGCCCGGAGCUCAACUCCGGGAUUGCCUUGGAUACGGGAUGACUUGAGGAUCGGAGAGGCAAGGGGAAUUCCACGUGUAGCGGUGAAAUGCGUAGAGAUGUGGAGGAACACCGGUGGCGAAGGCGGCCAUCUGGACGGAUACUGACGCUGAGACGCGAAAGCGUGGGGAGCAAACAGG
rnacentral:rRNA from 1 species